rnacentral:rRNA from 1 species
UACGUAGGGACCAAGCGUUGUUCGGAUUUACUGGGCGUAAAGGGCGCGUAGGCGGCGUGUUAAGUCACUUGUGAAAUCUCUAAGCUUAACUUAGAAACGGUCAAGUGAUACUGAUGUGCUAGAGUGCAGAAGGGGCAACCGGAAUUCUUGGUGUAGCGGUGAAAUGCGUAGAUAUCAAGAGGAACACCUGAGGUGAAGACGGGUUGCUGGGCUGACACUGACGCUGAGGCGCGAAAGCGUGGGAGCAAACAGG